GACGAAGGGGGCUAGCGUUGUUCGGAAUUACUGGGCGUAAAGUGUGCGCAGGCGGCCGAGCAAGUCGAGUGUGAAAGCCCCGAGCUUAACUUGGGAACUGCGCUCGAAACUACUUGGCUAGAGUGUGGCAGAGGGAGGUGGAAUUCCACGUGUAGCGGUGAAAUGCGUAGAGAUGUGGAGGAACACCGAUGGCGAAGGCAGCCAUCUGGACCGACACUGACGCUGAGGCGCGAAAGCGUGGGGAGCAAACAGG
rnacentral:rRNA from 1 species